rnacentral:rRNA from 1 species
CUACGGGGUGCUGCAGUGAGGAAUAUUGCACAAUGGGGGGAACCCUGAUGCAGCAACGCCGCGUGGAGGAUGACGCAUUUCGGUGUGUAAACUCCUUUUAUAUGUCAAGAAAAUGACGGUAGCAUAUGAAUAAGCACCGGCUAACUCCGUGCCAGCAGCCGCGGUAAUACGGAGGGUGCAAGCGUUACUCGGAAUCACUGGGCGUAAAGGGCGCGUAGGCGGGUUGGAAAGUCAGGUGUGAAAUCCUACAGCUUAACUGUAGAACUGCACUUGAAACUUCUAAUCUAGAGUCUGGGAGGGGGAGAUGGAAUUAGUGGUGUAGGGGUAAUAUCCGUAGAUAUCACUAGGAAUACCUAAAGCGAAGGCGAUCUCCUGGAACAUUACUGACGCUAAGGCGUGAAAGCGUGGGGAGCAAACAGGAUUAGAUACCCGUGUAGUC